GGACGCCUCCCGCCGGCCACCGAGCUCCGCCUCUGGACGGCAGGGUCGCCUGGAGGGCCGAGUCGGUCGCUCAGCGAGGAGCAGCGCCCUCCGUCCAGCGGCCGCCAACCGGCGCCCUGUGGGCCCUGCCAACAGACUACCUGCGCGCCGCCCGCAGUCCCAACAUCGAGGACCUGGUCAGCGCCGGCGCCGACUCGCUGUACCUUUGAAAGGUUACCGGCUCACUGUCACGCAGUCGGCGUCGCCUCGCUGUAUCUCUGACCGGUGACAGUGUGGCAAGUCACCAGCACGCGCGUCUCAUGGUGUCCUUUAUCAGCGGUGGCUCACCUCCGGGGCGGAGAAAGCAGCCGGGAGCAUCUUCCGUUCCAGACGUCUGAUCGGAUGGCGGCAUGGUUUUAAGGACUCGUCGCCGCUCGACGGCCGUCCCACUGCCACCAUUACGUAUUGAGUUCCUCCCAGUUAAUAUAGCGUGUGAGACCCGACAAUGAGAAGUCCAAAGUGCUCCAGCUUUCGUCAUUGGGCAAAGAAGGGCAGGGGUUGCCCGACCUCGUUCGUUCCAUUCACCCGCGCCUGCGACGCGCCACGUUUUACGACCAAAAGGCCGCGCCGGUCGCCGGCUGGUCAGUUUCCGUUGCCUCUGUUCGUGUUUAAUGCGUUACCGCUCAGCUCGUCCGCGGGCAGCGCCAAGUAAUCCCUUUUUACGCGCGUUUUCUAGUUCAUGUUCCAGUUGCCAGUUCGUUCGCCGGCUUGCAAUGAAUGCUUUAUCUUUUCGUUUAAGCACGACACCGGAAUAAAGCAGACGACUAGGUUACUUCGA